UUCUGCUCUCCCUCCCGAAACCCCCCCGAGCCGCUCCCGUCUCUCCCAUCGCGCAAACAACUCUAGGGUUCCUUGAGCCGCCGCCGCACCGGAGCUCCUCGACCAGCCCCACCUCAUGCCGCUCCACCCAUUGCUUCUCCCUCCGCCCGCGCCGCUCUCUUCCCCGCCGGCGCUGCCCACCACGAGUGGGGAGGCCCCAGAUCGUCUCGAGCAAGUCAGCGGGGCGGUGGCCAGAUCCACCACGGCAACAUCUCGUCCAGAUGGGCCGCGCCGGGAGAGGUAGAUCGAGGCGGCGGGCACCGUGUGCGUCUUGUCUCUUGGGACGCCGCUCCGACCCGAUCCGGCGAGGAGGCAGCCUCCGUCUGCGGCAACGAGGGCGGCGGCCGGCUGCGCGAGAGGUCGAUCUGAUUGUGCCUCCAUGACGGCAUCAUGAUGCCCACCGCCGACGGCGCUGCGUCGCGACCAAAGGGGCACCCGGCCAUGGCCGGGGACUCACUGCAGUUGAAGCACGCCAUCUCGCCACCAUGUAUGUUGUGUGUUCUUGUGCUGCAGGUCCUUGGGGUUGGGUGUUCUUGUCGCCACCAUGUUCAUGCAGGCACAAAUUGGACUGAGAAAUGCUAACAGAGGAGGAGAAGACCAUGCAAGUCCUUGGGGUUGGGUGCGGCAACUCGCGGCUCGAAGACAAUCUUUUGUGGUGGGGCGUCGCUGCCGCCGGCGGCACCUGCAUAGACCGUCUCGCUGGGAACGAAGAGAUGCUCCCCUGAUUUGGAGCUGUAGAAAGGAGGUGGUUGCAGACACAAAGUGGGGACACACAACUCCCAGUCAUAAUAUUCUUUAUCUUGGCUCGUUGUUUGGGGAUGGACGCAUCAAUCUGAUCGCGCUCUCCUCCAUGCCAAACGGAUCCUUGGUUCGGAGGUGCGCGGUGCCGACGAUGACAACCUUUCUAUCGACGCAAGGGCAGCAGGAGCUCAUGACGCUGUUGAUGCCACCACCAUGCACAGGGUUGAUGCAAGGUGGGACAAUGCGAUCACUAAUGGGGAGAACAUAAAACUUCAAUUGAGGGCACUGUGAUUCUCUAGCUACAUGUAUCAUAGCUUCUGCAGGAGGGCGUCACCUGCGGCAUCACUUGCAUCGACCUCUCACCGAUCACCGUCCCGAGGAUGCACGACAGACUGGCGGAGCAGGGCACCAGUGAUUGUUUCACCAAUUUGCUCGACUCAUUGUUCCCUUCCUCUGUCCACGCAACGUUGCCCAUUGUUGCUAAGUUGUUAAUUCAUCAGGCCCAUUAUUGCGGCUACAUAGUCUGUUCAUCUUGCCUGCCUUCUUAGGAGAAACCAAUUUACUGAAGGGCCUGUUCUGAUCUCCUCCAGCUUCUAUCUUCUCAAAAUUCUCGAGUGAAGCAGUCCCGAACGAUUUAGCUCGUAGAAGCUGGAAACGAGAAGCUGAGCGAUCCCAUAGUGCAAAAAAGAGAAGCAACGAAAGCCCAGCUCCACAAUACGAAGAAGUGAGGAGUUCCUACUAAUUACAAGAGGAUGCCACCGCGAAGUGCAAAAAACGAUUCGCGAAACAGCUCCCAGCCGCUGGUGGGAUGCUCGCCUCGCUCGUAUCCUGUGCGAGCGCACGUGGCCAGUACUCCUCCACACAACGAUACAAGGUGGGCUGCCUCCAUCCGGCCCAAACUGGCACCCAACAGAGCAAUAGGCUCUCAGCUGGGCCAAAUCGUGGAGAGAAGCUACGAGCACUGCCGAACGAAUGGAAUCGCCAGGGUGGCAAUUCCGAAGUUAUUGCCUUUCUACUUCAAACUGAAAUAAUUCCUCUUUGUCUUUAAUAUGGAGAUGGGCACUGAACUUUAAAAAACAGUAUGAACUCAACCCCUUCUAUAAAUCAAAUAUUUCAUUUGCGGGGACGACGUGGGGCUCAUGUCGAGCACUUCACCUGCAAUGGGUGUGGCCUUCUCCGUCUGCCAAACAUGCUACAAGUACGAGCACCAUGAGGGAACUGCCUGGAGUGCAAGACCCGCCACAAGCUCCUCAAGGGUCAGUCAGCCUCCACCCACGGCCGAAGGCACUUGCAGAUGUGAAGAAUAUCCAUGUCCGAUUACAUCGCCAGAAAGCAAAAACCAUGAGAGCCCACACUAAUCAUCAAGGGAUUUUUGAAACGAGCAGAAGAUUAGUAACUUCUACGACAUCAAAGAUCUGACCUUUUAGAGUAUGCACCAUAUUGAUUUACUUAUUGAUUUAUUCACAUUAUAUCAGAUUUGUCUUGAACGUGAUACUUUAUUGACUGUACUGGACACGGGAAGUUAACUGUUUUAAUUAUAUAGGAUUAGUCUGCACCAAUUGCUGCAUAAGUUCUCCUUGAUACCAAUUUACAUACUUGUGCUAAUAGGCCUUUGGUCAGUUUGCAACUGGUAUUUUAGACAUGUACGAGUAUUCUCAUGGUAUUUCUAUAUGUUUUAAUUAGUACCAGAUGGAAUUUGCGAAUUAGUCUCUUACAAAGAGAAGAGAAAAGGAAACAUUAUUCACGAGUUUGCAGGAAUAUGGAAACUCAAGGUAGUCUGUUAGCAUAAGUAAAAAAUGUUUUUCAUUUUAUUUCUUGGUUCGACCAAAUUAUAUUUUAUCCGAACGUAUGGAUGAUCGACACAAUGGACGUACGUAGUUUCUGGUUAGCACUACUCGGAUAACAAUUAUGCCUACUAUUACCAUUUUUGUGCAUUGUUUGGUCUUAUGCAUUUUAGUUAAAUACAUCCUUUGUGACAAAUAAUGAUUUUUGAGCAUACUAUCUUCUUUUCAUGUGGGGAGAUCGCUGAUAGAAAAGAAAAUUGUGUUUCUGAUAUGUUAUGCUUAUUUCUAAGUGCUUCCAAUUUCGAACUACUAGGUAUGCAGCAUUAGAUGAACAACUACCUCUUUAUUUGCUUGAGGAUGAUUUGAUUGUGCAAUUAAGACUACAUAAUUUCACUUUUCAUUUAUAUUUGUUGGUGAGGGCGAGCUGCGGCGGCAUGGCGCGCUGGUGCGCGUGACCGCGGGUUCGGCCAGGGUGCGAGCCGAUCUGGCAUGUGCGCUGGCGAAGUAAGGCGUAGAGGUGCUCCGGCCGGCUGGGUGCGUUGGUCCGUGGCGGAGGUGCGAGGUGGGCGUGGAUCUGGCGCCUAGCAUGUGCGAGGGAGGACAUAUGGGCGUUGUGCGUUUCUUCGCGGCGGGAGGUGUGACUGUGCUGCUCUGCAGAUUGAUGAUGUUGUUCUCCUGGUUUCGUGGAUCUGCAGCGGGGUAGCCGAUGGUUGCGGCGCCAGAGAAUGCUGGGGCAGCGGCCUCGGGCUGAUGGCUGCUAUGGCAGGGGCUGCUGCACCGGCUCAGGAUGGUGGAUUUGGAGCGAUGCACUCAGAUCUGACCCUGGCAACCGCGUUGUUUCUAUGUCGCAUGAGUUGCUGCAGCUGGUCGUCGCGUGAGGGCUAUGCCGGCUGACGGCAGGGGGGUUCCCUACACAAUGUGCUUGGCUCUGAUGGUCUGGGUAUCGUUGCGUGACCAGAUUUGCAAGCAAGCUCAUUGAUAGGAGAUCAGGGACUCGGGCGAAAGCUCCGUGACCUUCUUAGAGGCAUAGUCGUAGACAUCUUCCUAUCCUUUCAUGUGCUUGGGUUCUCCGGGUGAGAACCUAAACUCCAGUUUUCUGGAGUGGGUGGCGGCGGCGUUUACGUCGUAACCAUCUUCAGAGGCGUUGCCUUGGAGGGCCAGCCUUUGGAUGCCGUGUGGGGCUCUUUCGUUUUCAAGGGCGGUGUAUGUCGGGGCUGCGGCUCUGGGAUCUUCUAUUAAGUGUCGAGGCUGCGGCCUCGGGCAGUACUGCGACGACAGCUCCAAGAGGUAGGGCUGCUUGUCGGCAUGGCUUGGGCGAGGACCUUGAAGUGCGGAAGCAGCAAGGUUGUCAGCUCCGUCAAUGCGCCCCAGUCGGGACUGUUGGACGACAUGUUGGGGCAGCGGCCCAGGAUGUUGUGGUGCAGCGUUCGUGGUCUAUGUGCGGUUGGCCUGAGCAGCGUGAGCUGCGGGUAUUUGUAUCGUUCGGCGUAGUGCCGGCCAGGUUGUCGCUCAUCCAGGUUGCCGACCGGGAAGAGGUGUAGUGCCGGCCAAGACGAGAACAAGGGGAAGCUGCUUGGUUGUCUGUGUUCAUCAAAGGUGCUCUCUCUUUUCCAUCUUUCUUUUUAUUUACUUAAUCCUAGAUGGGUGACUACUAAUUUCCAUGUCUACUGGGAGGAAGAAGGUUGGCGGACAUAUCUUUGUGACUAUGUCAUUCACGUGCUUUGUUUCAACUCAUAAAGUGGAUCCUUUUUAAGCUAUAUCAAAUCAUAAGACAUAAUUUUCAGUUGAUUUUUUUCUUCUAAUUCCCAGUUUAUUGCUUCACAUAGACUAUUACAUAUUUAUGCUAGCCAAUUCGAAGCUUUGUCCCAAGGGCAAGCAUACCGUUGAAAAAAUAAAUACAUGUACGACAGAUCAGCCAGCAACUUAUUGAUCUGUGAUUCUUUGAAAUUUGAUGCUUAUAACUGUUUAUAAGUCAGUAUUGUUCAAAGCCAAAGAUAAGUAACAAUCUAUUUGGUUAAGUUGAACACUUUCAGAUCAGGAGUAGUAGAAAUUCUUAAGGGCAUUGGGAUAUUGAACUGCAGAUAGCUUUGGCAGGUUUGUUAGGCUAAUAUAAAGUAGGGACCUUUGCUACAUAAUGAUACAAAGAUGAUACCGAAGUUUGUUUUGCAACUAGCAAGUUUCAAGGUCACAUGGAUGCUGACAGCUCUCAGGUGUAUGGCCUAUUUGUUGCUGGGUAUUGUUGCCUUUCUUCCUGGUUUAUACAGCGGAGGAUCCUGAGUUGAUGCAUAUAUUGGCUCAAAAAGUAACUAGGUUCUGAAGUGCAGAUUGACAAGAGCCAUCCAGGGGGCCAGGGCGAUUAGAUGCCCAUCACUCACGGCGGCAAGAAGUUCCGUGUCGAGUUGAUGAACCAGCACCAGCUGGGAGCCCGGAUGAAGAAGGUUGUCCCCGCGGAGAAAAAGGAGAAGUGAUGAGAUGUUUUUGACAGCUAAUGGAUGAUGUUAUCUUAGUCUGUGAAUUUUUGUUUUGGUCGAUUUAGAAACCUUGUUUGAUGUCUGAAGAUCCCUUUUUGCCCACUGUUCAAACCAUCUCUUCAUUUUUGUGUAAAUGGUAACAAUACACUUCAAACAAUUAAGUUGUCAUCCCAAAAAAUAUUUUGUAAAA